rnacentral:rRNA from 1 species
AUGUUCUCGUCCCAGUCCCUCAGCCGCGUCAACAACAUCAGGACUGCGCUCAUCAACGCGCAGCAGGGCAACCAAUCGGUCGCCUCCUACUUUGCCUCCCUGCGCGGCCUCGCCGAUGAACUCGCCGCCGCCGGAAAACCUAUCCAGGACGACGAGUUGAUCUCGUACAUCCUCCACGGCCUCGACGUCGACUACCAGCCGCUCGUCUCCGCCCUCGACGCCCGCGUCACGCCCGUCACCCUCGACGAGCUCUAUGUCAUGCUGAGUAACUUUGACCAGCGCAUGGCCCAGUUCCACGGCUCCUCCGGCGGCUUCAAAUCUUCGGCCAACGCCGCAUCUCGCGGUCGUGGUGGUGGCUCUCGCUCGCGUGGAUCUCCCCGCAACAAGGGGCGGUCAGGAGGCAACGGCCGCUCCAUCAACUCCAAGCCUCGCCGCGGCGGCGGCUCCAGCUGGUCUCGUCCUGAUGCGCCCCGCUGCCAGAUCUGUGGAAAGCUUGGGCACAUAGCCAAGGACUUCUAGUACCGCUACGAUGAAGAUGACGACUCCUCCCAAGACGAGGACAAGGUUGUU